rnacentral:rRNA from 1 species
AUUGAACGCUGGCGGCAGGCCUAACACAUGCAAGUCGAACGAGUGGCGGACGGGUGAGUAAUGUCUGGGAACCUGCCCGAUGGCGGGAGAUCACUACUGGAAACGGUAGCUAAUACCGCAUACCAUCGGAUGUGCCCAGAUGGGAUUAGCGAGUAGGUGGGGUAACGGAGCACCUAGGCGACGAUCCCUAGCUGGUCUGAGAGGAUGACCAGCCACACUGGAACUGAGACACGGUCCCGACGCCUACGGGAGGCAGCAGUGGGGAAGAUUGCACAAUGGGCGCAAGCCUGAUGCAGCCAUGCCGCGUGUAUGAAGAAGGCCUUCGGGUUGUAAAGUACUUUCAGCGAGGAGGCGUUACUCGCAGAAGAAGCACCGGCUAACUCCGUGCCAGCAGCCGCGGUAAUUC